AUUGAACGCUGGCGGUAGGCCUAACACAUGCAAGUCGAACGCGAAAGUCCUUCGGGAUGAGUAGAGUGGCGGACGGGUGAGUAACGCGUAGGAAUCUAUCCUGUAGUGGGGGAUAACGUUUCGAAAGGAACGCUAAUACCGCAUACGCCCCAAGGGGGAAAGCGGGGAGUCUUCGGACCUCGUGCUAUAGGAGGAGCCUGCGUCGGAUUAGCUAGUUGGUGAGGUAAAGGCUCACCAAGGCGACGAUCCGUAGCUGGUCUGAGAGGAUGAUCAGCCACACCGGAACUGAGACACGGUCCGGACUCCUACGGGAGGCAGCAGUGGGGAAUAUUGCGCAAUGGGCGAAAGCCUGACGCAGCCAUACCGCGUGUGUGAAGAAGGCC
rnacentral:rRNA from 1 species